rnacentral:misc_RNA from 1 species
GUUCUGUUGUGGAAAAGUAUUAACGGAACUCAAUAUUAAUGAGAAAAUAACACUAUAAAAUACCAAACAUCUUUGCAGCUUGUCUCAUCCACACACCACUUGUUUUCAUAGUCGGUAUAAACGCUUUUAAGUGCAAUGGCUGCUUUUGCUACUAUUCUUUUCUUGUUAAUUGCCGCAGCAAAUCUUAGCUUCAGCUCCUGUUUCCAAAUUUCCAAUUAUGUGGGUUGCACAGAGAGGGAGAAACAAGCUCUUUUAAGGUUCAAGCAGGAUCUAAUUGAUCCUUCGAACCGGCUUGCCUCUUGGGUUGACCACCAAGAUUGCUGUAAAUGGGCUGGAGUUGUCUGCAACAACGAAACAGGCUAUGUCAGCGAGCUCCAUCUAAAGAAUCCUCCUUUGGAUGAUUUUUCAUCAGAAGUAAAAUCUAAAGCUUAUGAGAUGUCCAAACUAGGAGGUCAGUUAAAUCCUGCGCUGCUAAGUUUGAAGAAUCUGAUUUAUUUGGACCUGGGCGACAAUAACUUUGUGGGCAACUCAAUUCCUGAAUUUCUUGGUUCUAUGGUUAGUUUAAGGUACCUUAAUCUCUCUGUAUCGGGAUUCCAAGGAAAGGUUCCUCAUCAACUUGGAAAUCUCUCAAACCUGCAGUUUCUCGAUCUUCAAGCAAAUCAGUUACAUGUGGAGAAUCUUCAAUGGCUUUCUGGCCUUUCUUUUCUGGAAUACCUGGAUUUGAGCAUCAUAAACCUCAGCGCAGCUACUGAUUGGCUACAGGUGGUAAACAAACUACCUUCUCUGCUAGAGUUGCGCUUAUCAGAUUGUCUACUUAGUGACUUUCCUCUUUUAGCAGAUGUUAAUAUUUCUUCUUCUCUUGCUGUCCUCGAUCUUUCUGGGAACUGGUUUGACUACUCUUUGUUUCAUAGGUGGAUCUCUCGUCUCAGCAAUCUCAUUUCUCUCAAUCUCCAAGCAAAUAAUCUUCAAGGUCCAAUCCCUGAUAAUCUUCAGAACUUUACUUCACUAAAGAAUCUUGAUCUAUCAUUUAACAAUUUAAACUCUGGAUUGCCCAAUUGGUUCCACAGUUUCAGUCAUCUUGAGUACCUUAACUUUUGCUCCUGCAACCUGCAUGGUACAAUAUCUAGUGCCAUUUCCAACCUGAGCUCUACUUUUAAUAACCUUGAACUUUCAUUCAAUUAUGAAUUGAGUGGGAAAAUUCCAAGAUCGUUUGGAAAACUUUGCAACUUGGUGUCCAUUUCCCUGACCGGUGUUAAUCUUGGUCAAGAUGUAUCUGAAGUUUUGGAAAUUCUGUCAGGCUGCGCUUCUAAUACCUUAGAGUCGGUAUAUAUGGGUAAUUGUACACUUUCUGGUCAUCUGAUUAACCAACUUGGUCAAUUCAAACGUCUUAACCUUUUGUCCCUGUGGGGUAAUUCAAUUUCUGGUCCAAUUCCAGUGUCUCUUGGUGAACUUUCAUCCUUAAAAACUCUAUACCUUUAUGGUAACGAAUUGAAUGGCAGUCUUCCUACAAGUUUUGGCAAGCUUUCAAAAUUAGAAGACGCAGUGAUCUCUCAGAAUUUGUUGAAGGGUGUUGUUUCAGAAGUUCACUUUGCUACUCUCGCAAGAUUGAAGGCCUUCAAUGCAUAUGGAAACUCAUUGGUGCUGAAAGUCGACACUGACUGGGUUCCUCCUUUCCGUGUUGAAGCCUUAGCACUGGGAUCUUGGCAAUUAGGUCCUCGAUUUCCGUCUUGGCUUCAGUCUCAAGAGGACUUACUAAAAUUAGAUAUUUCUAACUCGGGAAUUUUUGAUUCUGUUCCUGCUUGGUUUUGGAAUAUGUCUCUCCAGUUCACAGUUCUUAAUCUAUCCCACAAUCAAAUCUAUGGACAAAUUCCAAGCAUAGAUGCGUUUUCAUACUCACUGGUUAUUGAUUUGAGCUCAAAUAAAUUUAUAGGUCGAUUGCCUCAUGUCUCCUCUCGUGUAGCUGCUUUGGAUGUUUCCAACAAUUCAUUGUCAGGGUCAAUAUCCAACUUCUUGUGUGACAAGAUGAAUGAACCAAGCCAAAUCGAAGUUCUCAAUCUUGCUGAUAACCAUUUCUCUGGUGAAAUACCGGACUGUUGGGGAAAUUGGCAGAAAUUGGUCGCUAUAAAGUUAGCCAACAACAAAUUUUCGGGUAAUAUUCCAGACUCAGUGGGAACUUUGAGUUCCCUUCAGUCGUUGAACCUACGGAAAAACAAUCUCUCUGGAAAGCUACCUCUGUCCCUGAGAAAUUGUUCUAAGUUGGGGUCAAUUGAUUUCUCAGAGAAUGACUUUGAUGGAAAUAUACCAACAUGGAUGGGAAAAUGGCUUCCCAAUAUAAUGAUCCUCAGCCUUCAUUCAAACAAGUUUCACGGUGCCAUACCUGACGAGUUAUGCGCUCUAACUUCUCUCCAAAUCUUGGACCUAGGGCAGAACGAGUUGUCAGGAACUAUACCAAGGUGUAUCAGCAACUUUAAAGCCAUGGUCAUAAAGAAUUAUUCAGCAACUACGUUCAUAAGCUAUGAAACUUCUGGAGGGAGUUAUUUUGAGGAUGCACUACUUGUCAUGAAAGGCAAAGUGCUCGAAUAUAGCACCACGCUUAAACUAGUCAGAAGCAUGGAUCUUUCCUACAAUUUGUUAUCAGGAGAGAUCCCCAGUAGGCAAGUCACAAGCCUUCAUGGUUUGCAAUCGCUCAACUUGUCACACAAUCUUUUGACUGGAAUGGUUCCUGAAAACAUUGGUGCAAUGGUAGAGCUAGAAUCACUUGACCUCUCUGCGAAUCAACUUUCUGGUGAAAUCCCACAAAGCAUAUCUAGUUUGACUUUUUUGAGUCACUUGAACUUGUCCUACAACAAUUUGAUUGGAAAGAUUCCAUCAAGCACUCAAUUACAAAGCUUUAGUGCAUCCGGCUUUGUGGGGAACAAACUCUGUGGAGCACCACUCGCAGAGAGUUGCAAUGAAAAUGAUGCAACACCUAAGAUUGGUAACGAUGGAGAAGAAAGUACAGGGCUAGAAGUAGUUUGGAAGGUUGUGAGCAUUACAAUAGGAUUUGUAGUAGGUUUUUGGGGCGUGUUGGGUCCUUUAAUUUUCAACAGGGCUUGGAGAAUAGAGUAUUAUCAGUUUCUUGAUCGCAUGUGGUAUAGGAUUGAGAUAAUGUUGCGACAUCUUUAAGCCUUUUGGGUGGUUAUUUUGUAACAAUGUUUCCUAGCUACUAUUUACAGUGCCUUUGGGUGAGAGUUUUUUUUUUCUUUGUAACAUAUGCAGAUUAAAUAAAAGUUGGAAGUUUU